rnacentral:rRNA from 1 species
UACGUAGGGUGCAAGCGUUAAUCGGAAUUACUGGGCGUAAAGCGUGCGCAGGCGGUGAUGUAAGACAGUUGUGAAAUCCCCGGGCUCAACCUGGGAACUGCAUCUGUGACUGCAUCGCUGGAGUGCGGCAGAGGGGGAUGGAAUUCCGCGUGUAGCAGUGAAAUGCGUAGAUAUGCGGAGGAACACCGAUGGCGAAGGCAAUCCCCUGGGCCUGCACUGACGCUCAUGCACGAAGCGUGGGAGCAAACAG